GCCAGGUGUGGUGGUGCACGCCUGUAAUCCCAGCUACUCGGGAGGCUGAGGUGGGAGAAUCGCUUGAACCCAGGAAGCAGAGGUUGCAGUGAGCUGAGAUUGCCACUGCAUUCAGCCUGGGUGACAGAGCAAGACUCCAUCUCAA
rfam:Nomascus leucogenys chromosome 7b, whole genome shotgun sequence.